rnacentral:misc_RNA from 1 species
AAGUCGUAACAAGGUAACCGUAGGUGAACCUGCGGUUGGAUCAUUAAUAAAUCUAGAAGACCUUCAAGGUCUCUCUAACAUCUUGUGAAUCGUUUAUUGUCUCUGGCGGAUCUCGGUCCGCAAGAAUAUACUUUGUAUUAUCUUUAGUCUAUAACUUUUAAUGAAAAAUUAAAAACAACUUUUGACAACGGAUCUCUAGGCUCUCA